rnacentral:rRNA from 1 species
UACGUAGGGCGCAAGCGUUAUCCGGAAUUAUUGGGCGUAAAGAGCUCGUAGGCGGUUUGUCGCGUCUGCUGUGAAAGACCGGGGCUCAACUCCGGUUCUGCAGUGGGUACGGGCAGACUAGAGUGAUGUAGGGGAGACUGGAAUUCCUGGUGUAGCGGUGAAAUGCGCAGAUAUCAGGAGGAACACCGGUGGCGAAGGCGGGUCUCUGGGCCGAUACUGACGCUGAGGAGCGAAAGCGUGGGGAGCGAGCAGG